ACGGAGCUGCCGCUUCCCGCCCCGCGCCCAGGGAAGGAGGGAGACGGAGCAGGGAGCACGACGGAUGCACCCGCGCUACCAGACCCCGCUCUUCGCUCUGCGCCCGCCCGGCAGGCUUGAUGACUCUACAGCAAUGGAAAAGAAUGCAUUCCUCUGAUUGCAAUGGGAUCAUGUAAAUCUGCAAAGCACUCCUAGCAGCAGAAUUCUUGGCAUUAUACCACACUGUAUGGAUCCCUGAAUUCUGAGUUGCUUUGAAGGAACGUCAGGAGAUUAAGGAGAAACACAGCAUUAAGAGACAUUCUCAAAUUAUAGGUGCUCAUUUACCAAAUUGUACCAAACUAAGAGAAAACUGUACUUCCAAAUGUGGAUGGACAUCUCCACAGCCAUUCUGCUCUCCAGAGCAUAGCUGGUCAAUCCAGAGACACAUAUCUAAGGCAUUCAGGUAAAAUGCUGAAGACCACUCAAAGAAAAAGAAGGGUCUGUUUAUUUUACUUUGGUGAAGAUCAGCUUAUAGUGGAACAGGUUUCAGAGAGAGUAAAUACAGAUGUUUAUGACCUUGAAAUUUUGGACUAAUAUUUUUAUGCAGCAUACUAUACGUAACAAUAGAGGUGAAAACUUACAGAAAAGGCAUGGAAAGGAAGCAGAGUACUGCUGACUCAAAAACGAACUAUUGCAGCCCUACUCCUUAGUUUUAUGAGAGCACAGUCCAUAGUUCAUGCACAAUCAUCUUACCUGUACUGAGUGGGCACAUUGCAAACAAGGCCAUAAAAACCUGUCAGAACAGUUCCUGUGUGAUGAUAGAAUUGCAAGUCACACUAGAACAGUAUAAUGGUUACUCAUUUCAUAGUUUAAUUCAAGGAAGCGUAGAAUAUGGUAGAGAACUGAUAUUCUUUAAGUAUAGAGCAGAAUAGUUAUUUGAGCUUUUGCCUAAUUAUAGAAUAAAAACUAAAGCAAUGCUAUGUCAUCUGUUUAAAGCAUAUACUCAUGUCAGAAAGUAGUGAGCAUUUGGCUUAAAAAUAAUUUUAAUCAAUUAAUUCAUCAGUGUGGUCCAUCACAUUAUUCAGAAAUAGCUUCUUUUAGUAAAUGGAUCAUGAAUCGAUAGUAGACAUAAAUAAAGCAGUACAAAGGGCACAUCAUUCAGCAAGCUGCCAACUGCUGUGGCAGAAGAUGGCAGAAAUCAGUAUCCCAGGUCAGACAGAAUAAAUCAGAAAUUGGCAGAUAUUACACAAAGAUGCCAUUUUUUAGCAGAAACUCAAGAUUUCUGUCAUCUCCCAAGAGUUACUGAAAUACAGAAACAUUUACAAACUUUAUAUGAGACAUCAGUUCAAGAUGGAGUUUGGUCUGAAGUCUGUUUUUCACUAAAUACUUUCAAGUUCAUCCCUCUUAGGGUUUGCAGAAUUCUUGAAAUAUAGAGAAUGAAUUGUGAGGCUGCUAAAGAUCUCUCUGGAGAGAGAGAAAAAGUCAUUCUGCAGACUUUGUAUUUUAGCUCAAAGGAUCAAUUCUUGAGAGAAACUGUAUAACUGUAAUUCCUGUAUGGUCAGUGAGAGGUGGAGUUACUCAGCACUUUUUAGGAUUUGGCCCACAGCAGAAGGAGAAAUAAAACCAGUUUUCUCAAGCAGUCAAAUGAAAAAGCUCUAUUAUUCAUAUCUGGACAAUCUUAUUUAGAUGUCUCUAAAAGAAAACAACUCAUGACUCAUUUUGUCUGUUAAGUAUUAAUAACUAACUUCUUUGGGACUUAACAUUUCUAGGCCAUUUAUGUGAGUAGAUAUUUUCAAUUGAGAGAAUCCAAAUUGUCAAGAAUUCAACAUCCAUAAAAAUUUCAUUAUGACUAACUGCAUAUUUUCUUAAUGCGAAAAAUGCUAUUACUCUCUUAUCAAAACUAUGAGCUUCAUACCUAAAAAAAGAAUAAGAUUCUCAUAGUAUAAGUUACAAAUUAUACACUUUUAAACUUCAUUAAAAAUAAAGUUAAUGAUAGAAUAUUUGUAAAUAAUCACAAUUUUAGAUUGUGCAAGCAGGCAUGAACACUAAGCAUGAUGUUUUACAUCUUUUCCAGUAUCAUUUAUCUUUUAAAAACUGAAUCCUGGAUAAUUACUGCAAACCACGUAAUUGUUAAUUUCACUUUUAAGCCUUUUAAAUUACUGACUUCAUAAAACUAUGACACAGCAGCAAAGGAGAAACUUGACUCAGGUUGAAUGUACUUGAACCAGUUUUCAAUUUGCCACAUUCUCACUGCUUACACCACAGAUUUUCCCACUGUAUCUUCUUAAUGUUGUCUAUUAGAAAUGUUUAUCAUAGCACUGCAUACGAGGUCAGUUGGAACUGAGACCCCAAAUGUGCUAACACUAUAAGAAAUAAAAGCUAGUCUCUGCUUCAGAUCUAGUUGAUAAAAAGCGAAAGGAAAUAAUGCAGGCAGAGAGAACAAUGAGACUGUGGUAUACAUCAUACAGUUUUUGUUGUCUGCAUUUUAGUAUUCCAGUCCUUUUCCUGAGGCCCUGUUAGGAAAGAAUUGUAUAGACAACAAGACAAAGGCAACAAGGACACAGAACAAAUUACAGCAAGCAGCCCAUCAAAACACAUCCGAGGACAUCCUGAGUGCAAGCUUCCACAAGGCAAUACAGUGGUACUGCCUUGAUUUCAGUUUCUGGAUGUAUCUCAGUAUUUCUUCUCACAGUGUCUGCAUAGGGUACGUUCAAAUCCUAGUACCACUUAAAUGUCCUACUUCUACACAUGCUGUAUAAGAAGAGAGGCCUUUGUUAUUUAGUAGCCACCAUUUAAGAGGCUAAAAAUUCACUGCAUUUUUGCUGUCAGUAUCUUUGUUAGCUAGAUAGCGUUUAAUAGAUGGAAAACAAAGAUAACUAAGUGCCUGACCCCAGAAAUCAGGUUAAAAAAAAUAAUAAUAAUUACAUGUACAGCAUUCCUCCAGGCUCUCUUAGUGGUGCCCAGAGACAAGACAAAGGGUAAUGGGCACAAACUGGAACACAGGAGGUUCUAUAUAAACAUGAGAAAAAACUUCUUUACUUUGAGGGUGACAGAGCACUGGAACAGGCUGCCCAGAGAGGUUGCAGAGUCUUCUCUGGAGAUAUUCAAAACCCACCUGGAUGCUUUCCUGUGCAACCUACUCUAGGGAACCUGCUUUAGCAGGGAGAGAAAUUAAAUGAUGUUCGGAAGUCUCUUCAAACCCAUUUUGCUUUCUCAAGUGUACUUUACUACAAGUUAUAUAUGUACUAGUUUUGUAAUUAUUUUGAAGUAACAAUUGUAUGCAUUACCCUACUACUAGAAUUUUGGCAAAAAAAACAUCCAAGUGAGAUAUUGUAAUUGUGUCAAUCUCAAUUAUUUUAAGAAUACUUCAGAUGGAUAUGUACAUAAAAUGCCUGCUCAUUAUUGGAAAGCAGUCUAAGUCAUUCUUCUACUUAAUGAGAUGAAUAACACCAGCACAGAUGAGUGCACAUCCCUCUUAUACUGAUCUUCCCAAAUCAUUUAAAUACAUUCAUACUAAGAAAAAAGACAAUAGUUACAGCCAGUAUUGUAUCCAUGAUAGUAUUUAUUUUUUCAAAAUUCAACCAGAUGAGUGUAAGGUCCGUUUGUAUCCAGUUUUAACACCUGUCUGUUUCCAUAUGUGCCAUGCUUAACAAGAACACCUGCUUCCACGCAUUUGGCAUUGGCAGCCAGUUCCUUUUCACACAAAGUCACAAACUGAGAAUAAAGUUCCAUUCCUUUUUGUUUUUCUAUGUUUGCAUGGUACUGCAUCUUUCUUCCCUUCAGUUUACCACCCAGUGUAGCUUGUGGUAUGAUGAGCACAUUGCCUGGUAAAUCAAGGACAGAUACGUACUCUCCAUUUUCAUUUUCACUUAAUUUAACAUUCAACAGCACAUUGACUGCAAAUAAAGUAAAAAAUUAGUGUAACUAAAGUAAGUCAAAUAGGACCUAAUAUAACAUAAAACAACAUUCAAGAUUUUAGAAGAUAGUCCAAAAUAGCUUAUUUUACUUGAUUUGCUUGUCCUGACUGUUACUAAAACAAAACAUGGAUUGUUAUUGAAUACUAUUAACUGGUUAAGAUGUCAGAGUAUUGUGAAGAAUGCAAAGGAUAUUGGUAUCAAUGCAGUGUGCCUAAGUAGAAUUUUUUGUGGGUGGGACAAUGGUUUGCUCUUUAAAAUCCUGCAGUUUAUUCUAGUUGGAGCUCCCCAAAGGAACCCAGGAUCUAACUAGUGACCCUAAAGUAAUUACCUGAUACUCCUCCAACACUCACAGAAGAGUAUACAUUGUAAGAAGACCAUCUUUGAUAAACUUGAAGACAUUACUGUCCUGACUUUCUGUAUGGUUGAAGUAGCUGGCAGCAGUAUCCAACACCAAACUGAUCCUGCUGAAACCCUGGGGUCAGCAGUUUAGUCUCACCCAGAGCAAGCAGAAGACAUGCAGGUGUCAGCCUGCCUUUUGAGAUAAAGGCAAGCAGGCAAGUCAGAGAUGCAAUUUGGUCCAUUAAAUGCAGUGUGUAAGCUUGCAAAUAGAACUGAUGUGUUUGAUAACAUUACAUUUUCUAAUGUUUCUAUAAUUAUCAAAUUCUUCCCCCAGAAUUUCUUCCACCCAUUUAAAAGCUGUGAGAAUACUUGUCAUCACUCUAAACCUACAAGAGAAAACUACACCAACUUAAACAGUUUCAAAACAUAUUAAGAACAAAAAUAGUCCAUAAAACAGACACUUGGGAAGAGGGCAAAGAAUAAACCUCCUAAAUAGCAAAGAGAACUUUCUUUUUCUGGCCUGUUUCAGCUGCCAAAAAGCUGAAAAGGUGAUUAUUCUCCAGUAUCAUAAAACUCUCACAAGCAUAAGAUCAGUUUUCAUACCAUGCUGCUUUAAAUACACCUAAAGAUUUCAACUUAGUUUAGCAUCACAAAUGCCCUUGAAGACCAAGAGCUGUUCUCAGCAUUUUCAUUAACACCUGUGCUUGCUCAUUGCUAGGCCUUUCUGCUGGUACCAGCAAACAGCUUGAAAUAGACUGUUACACGACCUUUUGUGAAACUACUACUAUCAGCAACCCAUAGAAAUGGGGCGCUUUUAUGUGGAACACACAUCACUGAAUUCCCUAAAUAAUCCACUGCCAGUGAUAGAGGAAAAGAGGCAGAAGAAAUUAAAUAAAAGUAAAAAACAACAACAAAACACACACAAAAAAAACCCCAACAAAACAAAGCAAGCAGCCAACCAACCAUCACUGCUGCUAAAAGCUACUCUAGAAGAAAGCAGACAAAUGGUAGAGUUUAACCUGAAUAAAGCAUCAGUUCCACCUGGAUAUAAAUGUUAAAAGCGCAUGCAGAGAAGAGUAGAUGAGUGACAGAUAUUGCUGUUAUCACUUCUGAUCCAGAAAGACUAACAAUAUGCAGUAUGAGACUGGACACUAGUUAGUUAUCCACCCAACUCCCUCUACUGGCUAUAAUUUUAAACAUCCAGUACAUUCAGGAAGAUCAAAAUUAAUAUACCUCUUAAAUGAAGCCAUGAAUUAUCUGCAAACCAUCUUCUCUAAGUUCAGUCCUGUCCUAGACUGAAGAUAUUGCUUGAUAGUCGUAAUAUAAUCAUUAGUAGGUGUAGCACUUUCUGUUUGCUAGAUUGUUUUCAACAUGAACAUUCAGUGUGAAUUGAUCUUCUAACAGGUUAAUCAUGAACUGACAGUGAAAAAAGAUGGACAGAUGUGAAACAUAUGAAACAUAACCAACCAAAUUGUUCUGUCAGCCACCUGGUUAGUUGGGAAUGAUGCUAUUUGAUGGCUUUUUGACUUCUCAUCUAAAUAGCUGCUGCCUUUCCCCUGCCGCUACCACUUAAUUCUUUAAAAAACUAUAUGUGAAUUUAUAAGGAUAACUUAUACCAUACCAAUUUUUGGAACAAGAUCCUCAUCAGCACCUUUGAAGAAGCAUAUAUAGAUAACAAGUCCUCUCUGGAUCUACAAAAGAUUACAGAAAACAACAUCAAUCUCUCAUUAUCCACCAUGCAGGUUUAUCAUUAAAACUGAUACAGAAAGUGACAAAACUACAAUAACAAAAUUCCCAAGAUUAAUUUUACUUAUUUUCUAUAGCAUCAGAUUUCAAAUUUAUGGGCUUACAAAAGUUCAUUAUAUAAACCAACUACCUGCACAAUGCUGCUACAUGCAAUUAAGUCACUUUGUCAGCUGCAUGUGAAGCCACACUUAGUUGUAAUAUAGUAUGUACAGUAUUACUGUUAUUACAGAUAUUACAGAUAAAAUAAUUUACAGAGUGAAAUAUGGCUUUAUUUGCUAUUAUAAAAUAUGUCAAAUACCAUGGGGCUUGUCUGUGAACUGAAUUAUAUUUUUAUGUUAAAAACAGACUAGUAAAGGACAGUUCUAACAAAGCAGUCUGAUAAUUAACAUUUAAAUGUAACAACCAAUUUAAAUAUGAUGACCAACAAUUGUUCACAAUAUCACAAUGCUAUAAAGUUAUCAAAAAUAUUAUCCAUCAGUUCAGGUGAAACCUUUCUGCCAAAUUGGACCUCUCCCUUGAUUCAUGUCAGGUAAAGGAUAUGCCACUUCUUUAGCAAACUAAGAGACCACUAGAAAGAACUGUCCAUUUGAGGAAACAAUUAGGUCUGUAGUAAUAAGAAAGCAUAAAGUAAUUCCCUCGUAACUUUUUUCCCCUCUCUGGUUUAGUUCACAAACAUGUGCAACAAAGAGUGCUUUACUAAGAAAAUAAAGCUAUUUGGCUACGCAACCAACAAGCAUGCUGUUUCAUGUUCAAGCAUCUGUCAAUGGUUUAACCUCUCUGGGCAAAAGCAGAGGCCAUACACAGUGUGACAAUAAUAAGAAAUCCUACCCUCUCACCACUGUUUUGUCAAGAAUAAUUAUCCUUAUAUUCCUGUUAAAUGGAAAAUUAACAUCAGCUCAAAGAAAAAAUGAAAUACUACAUUAGAGAUGCUAACUAGAUCAGAACAGGAAGGAUUCAUUACUUUCAAAGUUAUCAAAACAGAAGGAUAAGAAAUAUGAAUGUUACUUAGAAAAAAAAUAAAGGAUCGUGUUGUUUUUUUCUAACUCAUUCUUUUCCUUAAAACAUAGAACUUUUUGGUAAAGAAAACAACUAUACACAUGAGAUUUCAGCCUUUUGUUAUUGUGGAGAUUGAACGAAGCACUCAAGGCAAUGUCUGAGAUCUGCACCUUCAUUACUAUUUUUCUACUUUCUAAUUUCUGAAGAAGAGAACGCUCUUUAUAGCUUAAAUGUCACAUGCAGAGAUUCUUUCAGAAGCUAUAAAGAGCUCCUCUCAAAACUCAUUUUGACCACUGCAGAACAUUAUGCAGGUUCCCAUUCCCAAAUGAUUGCCAUAUUUCAUAAACACUGUAAUAAAUUUGAUGUCCCGAACCUCAAAUGGCAUUUCAAACUCCCUACUCAAACGACAGAGAAAUAAAGGCUGCCAAAGGAUAGACUGUCUUACGUAUUUAGCUAAAUAUUAGUUCCAGAAUCAGACUAACAUCAGAACGUUAAUAAAGAAUAAGGCAUACAAAAACUACUAAUAAAAAACUAUUAGGUAGGUCGAAUACAUUUACAUUAUUACACUAACUUAGAGAAAAGCAAUUAUACUGUGUUGCACACCUCACAAAUGACUACUCCAACCCUGAGACUUCUGAAAGCUUUUGAAUAUUUUCACAUAUGGAAGUAACAAUAUUCUGCAGGAAGCACCUUUAAAAAGCCAAAAAGGGAAAUAAAGUAACACUUAAGACUCUAAGACCAGUUAACUAAAAAUGAUUAUUAUUAUCUAUUAUGUUAAUUAACAUUAUUUUCCAGCCCCUCUCACGAUUCAAUGCUUAAUUUGGAACACUUUUUCCAUCAUAAAAUUAAAUACAUAAAGGCUUCAGCACCUGUUACAAUCAGACAGAUUAACAAGGUGGAAGAGCAACAAAGGAAAAGUAAAGGUGCUCACCCAUCUGAAAGAAUUUAAGCUCACAAGGACUCCACCAGAGAGAAAUCUCCAACCAGAGAUCCUUCCCUAGUAGCAGUCAGCCCUUAAAUGAGGUCUAAUAGAGGUGCAGCCAGGCUCCACCCCUUCCACUCACACAGCAGAAUUGCUUUCACCUCCCAUGGCUGACUUUGUUCUUUUCCCAGAUGAUCAAUCAGUGGUUCAGGCUGUGACUCAACAGUUACCAUACAGUGCUUCACACCAAUCAAAUAUAAAAUGAAAAAGUCUGAAUUCAGAGACAAGUUAAUGCUAUGAGGGGAUGUUUGUAUUAUGUGCUUAUUAUCUUCUAGGACACUUAGAAACUAUGUUAUGGAUGAAAACUAUCCAGUGUUCACAAGUUAAAAUUCAUGGUUUCAACUGUGAUUGAGAACUAUAUUUGAACACUUCAUAACACAUUCAAUCAUGCUUCAGCCUCAACCUAUAAUAUAUAUAUACUUUUUCCUCCUUUAACCGAGUGGGAGACUCAAAACUGAAUUUAAAGAGCUAACCUAAUUGUAAUACACGUCAGUCCUCGGGUCUCACACAGGUAUUCCAGGUGUCCUUGCUGUUCAGAGCUACAUUUUACCCAGGAAAUGUCAAGCAAAAUAACACAAAUAAGAAAGUUACAAAUGCAACAUGCUGACAAGCAAACAGUCACUAGAAAGAACUUAGUGAAAGGCAGGCAGCUGUGCUGUGUGGAUUUGCUGUUAUCAGUGAAAUGCCUACAUAAAUAAAGCAGAGAAUCAAGUUACUCUGCAACAUGAGCAUUUUUUGUACAACUGUCCUAAGUAAUCAUCAGAGCAGGCAAACCUGCAUCACGAAGGGCUCAAGUAUCCAGUCCCUGAGGCCACACAGCAAGCCUCAGCUCUGCCACCUCCAAACACUCCUUUUUAGCUCCACUGCAGGAUAAACAACUAAGUCCUUCCCCUACCCUCUUUACAAAAUACAUUCAUCUGAACUAUGCAGGAUUUCAUUAGCAAAACCUAAAUAUAUUCCACAAAAUGUUAUCUCAGCAUGGUUUGCUUUUUCUUUUCUCCUGAAAAAAUGUAAUGCAACUGAUAAUGGAAACAGAGAUGCUUUGUAGGAAGCAAGCUUGUGGAACUAACUUACAUGAAUUAUUCUUUGACAUCUUCAUUCAGGCUCACUGAACAGUGAGAAGCGUUGUUCAUAUUUCACCCAUUCUGCUGCAUCAAAGAGAAAUUCCAUAAUCUACCACGGGUCACAGAAAAACCUGUACCAGGUAUCUUUUACUCCAUUUGGUACCUUAACUAGAAGAUAAAUCAAGGGAAAUAAGGUAUGGGAGAGACAGCUUUCCUUGCAUUAAGUGUAGGUGCUCACACUUGUCAGAUGAAUAUUCGUUUUAUAUUUUGUUUCUCCUAUAGUGUGAAAUACCCAAUCUCACUGUAUUUGCCCCUAGAUUUAAACACCGUUCCUUUUUUCCCUCCAAAGUAUUUUGCAUAUACAGAAACUUUUAAUGGAUACUAUUUCACUGGCAUUUCUGCAUAAACAAGACCUUGUAAUCCUCAAAAGGUCAUAAAGCUGCAACUGUGAAACAUAAUGAAGAGAGGUGACUCAUAUACAAAGUACGCUACCAGCCUUUUUCUUGAUAAAGAACAUCCACUCCAGAGUUCCCAAAGUACCUGCAGGGGUCUUUUAAAGCUCGGAAGCUAUUCAAAGCCACCUACAUAACACACUAUUUAUGGCUCACUAGAAGUUUCUCAAGGUGAGAACCUACUUUUUAGCUGUUACAGGUCACUGCGCACACACUGGUUUACAUAAAUAACAGUUGAUUUGCCAAUAUUUCUUUAUUUUUCAUUGGUACACUGACAUGCUAUCCUACCAGGAAGCAUCAGAAGCAAUUAUGGCUUUUAAUGAUCUCUAAUGAAAGCCAUUAAAGGCUAAAGAAACCAUAAUAUUUCUACAGGGUUGGGUUUGCUUGUUUGUUUUGCUGCAGGGUGACCAGCUUUUGUUACAACAGAUUUCUUUUUGCAAGCCUAGAGAUCCAGGAAAGAUUCAUAAGGACCAAUGAGGUUUCAUGUCUGAAAAAUACCUGCUGCUCACAUUGGACAAACCCCAUGCCGAUUCCCUCAGUGUUAUCAACAACCUUUCCAAUGAUUUUGGUUACGUUAUUUAAAUCUUCAAGUAAGAGAUUCACACAGUGUAACUGCCUUCUAACAUACUGACUCAUUUUAUAUAAAAAAACAAAACACGUGUCUACGUUUGGGUAGUUCAACAGACAGCCAGCACCUGUGGCACCCCUGUGAAAGUGUAUUUAGGAAAGGACAGAGAGUCUUAGAGGGAACAUGAGAGAAGCAGAAGGUAUAUUAUGGAGAAGCUGCUAUUCUCCUACAGGACCUGUAGAAGAAACCACUGAAAACUCUGAAAGAAUGAACGUAAACGGGAACUAAUUACAGAUUUUGCAGAUAGUAAAACGCAGGUGUCGUGAAGCCUGACGGGAGUUACCACGAGGAGCACGUCUCGGACUUCCCGUGUGCGAUAAAACCAGAGGGCAGUGCCGUCCCUGUGCUGUACCAUCCGCAAAGCCGGGCGGACCGCUGCCCCGCGCCCCCAGCCCUGCCCGCCCUGCCCCGCCACUAGGGGAGGGGACCAGACCGCGCCGAGCGGGGCGGCUGCGCUGGACGUUACCUCCUCCCACUCCGCCUCCACGCCGUGCUCGGGCGGCUUCACCUGCAGCCGAGCGAACAGGCACUGCUGCAGUAAGGCCCGAGCCAGCACCGGCCGCGCCGCCGCCAUGGGACAGAGAACGAGAGGGAGGGAGCGGCCUGAGGGCUGGCGCACAGCCCGGGCAGGGCGGCGGGGUCACGGUGCAGCGCACGUUGCUUUUCCGGGUUAGCGAGUCCUGUGGCUGCAGUGAGGGGCUGGGCGUUACAAAGCACUGCGCAUGGGUGCCGAGUCAUUGGUAUGUGUGAGGAGCUCUGGGCCAGCAGUAGUCUGAGGAGGGGCAGGGAGCCACGUGAGAAGGAUGUAGCUGUAGAACAGAAAGCGUUUGAAUAGCUCGUAUUUAAAGAGCCCUACUGCUGCCAGGAAGCUGGUGGCUCGCUUGGCUUGUUUGCAUGAGAAAAAUGCUACUUAGCUUAUUUCCUAGUGGGGCAGUAUUACAUGCUGUGUGGAUUCUGCAUGAAAAGUAAAGGCCAAAACUGAACAAUGGAAGGACGGGUCGUUGCUGCUUUGCAGACUAGAGGUGCUUGGAUUCCAUUUCCUGAAGUUUCAUGUCAGGGUUUUUUCUCAGUGACACUACUUGGAAGCAGGAGGAAAAACAAAUAACACAGUUAACACAACGGAUGUAUGUGUGGCCAGGGAUCAGAUUUAAGAUCUGAAGGAAAGUUAAACUAUUGCACCUGCUGCUUCUGUGAUCGGUCACAUUUCCGACUCCGUGUCCCGGCCCACUGAGUAGGUGACUUUUGCCCCCCUCUCAUGAGUUCUGAGACAUGUUGGGAUCACCUGCAGCAAAUGUAGUAUGGGCUGGUGCAGAACUCAGCUUCUCAGAGCUUCUAUGAAAGACCUGAAAUCUUGUUUUCAAAACCACAUUAAAAAAAAUAAAGUAACACAGAUCAGAGUCAUGAGAAACUAAAUUUUAUUUCUUGGUCUUAGUCAUCAAACAAGCUUAGUGCAGUUAACCACUGCACAGCAAGAGGCAAUAUGCUCUCAUUAAUAGCCAUUGUUACACGAAGGUUGGAUUAAAAUAUGCUCUUUUGCAUUAGUGCUCUGAGAGGUUGCUCUUUAAAAAGCAAACCUUUAUUAAAAAUGAUGGAAUCACACUAGGUGGCUAGUGCGUAAACUAGCUCUUUUCUAUUAGCUGUAGGGAAAUAUAUGAGUAAGUAUGAGUUAUUUUUAUUUAAACUUAGCUGAUUUUAUUUAAAAUACCUUCUGUUCAUUUAUUCUAAAGCUCUAUCCCUAGACUCAAUUAGAAGAACUUAAUGAGGUAGAAAUCCAUUUAAAAUGAGUUUCUUCAUAUAUAUUUGUGGUUUAAAUUUAUUAUUAAGGAAAAUGGGUAUUACUACAGCCUCUGAGCAAAUUGUGGAAGUAGAAUACAAAUAGUUUCAAAUACAUGUGGCUAUUAGUUAUUCCUUGUUGUGAUACCAUUGUUUACACCAGAAUUCGAUGCAUUUAUUCAUAUGCAAGUUUAAAAACAUAUGGCAUAUGGUUGUGAACCAGUACAUUGAACAAUUAGUACAGGAUCAUUAUGUGCAUCAUUCUUGAUGUAAUUAUAUUGUACUUCCCCUGGAAAAACAAAUGUAUGUUAUUGUAGCACAUAUUCAGUUUCUUGAAUUGUGUUGGGCCAUAGUUAGACGAAAGAUCUCUUUUGUAAGCCAAAGAAUGUUUGGCUAAAUUUUAGCCAUUUGAAUUUGUGGUUGGUUUUUCUUUUGUUUUUCUGUAUGAGAGAACCUCCGUAUUUGUAAGGAAUGUAUUCAUGUAUAAAAUACAUUAAUACUUUUAACAGUUAUUAUAAUAAAGGUGUUUUCCUACAUGCUAUGGGUUUUAUAGCUGUCCCGGGAUAUUUACUGUAUGCUAUCUGCUUCUUGACCCUGCAGCAGAGAGUAGGUAUUUAGAGAGUGACUGUAUCCAGAAGGCACUUUUUGUUAUUUUCACACCAGUUCUUUUUAAGAGGGACAGAUGGCAGCAUGAUCCACUUCUCGUGAACCACAGAAGAUUAGAGAUCAGGAACUGUAGAUUAAGCUCAUGGAUCUGCCUCUGGCUCAGUCUAAAACCAUGAAGAGUUACUGUCUUUCACAGUGGUGGAUUAACUGGAGAAAGAAAUAAGCAUUACAGUAAUCUGCUGUUUUGCCUUCACAGUUUUGGACUAGCAUGGUUUUAUAUGUAGUACUUAUAGAAAGUGCUCUUGGAUCACAUUUAUUUUGAGCUGUGAUUGUUUCAGCAUGCAAGGAUCAAUCUGGAAGAUGUUGCUGCUGGCACGAUUGUGUAAGUGGUCCAUAUACACCCAAAGAACAUCAUUUCCCCUGGGUGAUGCCUUGCGUUGCUAAUGUACUAGAAAUUAUGAGAAAAGUAUUUAAUGACCAUAGAGCAAAACUGAAUUGGUUUGGAAUGUGAGACAGAUUCUUUAAAUAAUUAGUGAAUACCAAACCAGUAGAAGUUGGUGUUGUUUCUCAAUUAGCCUCAUUGUUCAAAUUAGAUUAAUUUGCUAUACAAAACUCAUUUAUGAUCCAGGUUCUGAUGCUAACAAAAAUGCUUCCUGUAAAACAUAAGUUCGUUACUGAGCAAAUGAAUGAAGAACAGAAUUAAAGUGGUUUCACAAAUUGAAGUUGUGCCUGAAUACCAUUAUUACUCAAACCAGUGCAGUCAAAUGGAUUAGUGAAGCUUUUAGGGCAGUGAAGAUCUUAAUUCUGUAUCUGUGUGGUGUCAAAUGCAACAAUAAAUAAAUAAAUAAAUAAAAAGAUUCCUUCCGCCAAUGGAA